rnacentral:rRNA from 1 species
CACGUAGGGCGCAAGCGUUGUCCGGAAUUAUUGGGCGUAAAGAGCUCGUAGGCGGUCUGUUGCGUCCGCGUGUGAAAACUCGGGGCUUAACCCCGAGCCUGCAGUGGAUACGGGCAGACUAGAGGUAGGUAGGGGAGGGAGUGGAAUUCGUCGGUGUAGGCGGUGAAAUGAUCGCAGAUAUCGGGAGGAACGACCGGAUGGC